rnacentral:misc_RNA from 1 species
CGCAGAGCAGCAUCACAAGCCUUGGCCGACCACGAGUUUCCUGUAUUGCAUACCUACACGAAGGAAUUCGGGUGUCCCAACGUUUAACGUUCCCCAAGUGCCGCCCCCGCAAGGGCGCGGCGUGAGGUGAACCACGAAGGCAAAUUCGUGUUCCAAGACAAUCGUAGUACACGUUGUUGUUUUGGCCCACGAAGUGCAGCCUGAGCUCUCGGAUGCGGAAUACCAUGAGGGAGGAGGUCGCUACCUCCGUGUGCCCACGCUCAGCGUUAAUCGCUUGCAUCGAACGACUGCCGUGGUCGUCUUGAGAAGUCAUGUCCUCGGGCGUGUCGCG